ACGCCAGUGAGCGUAAUACAGCAGAGAUUAGCAACCAUGCAGUAGGGAAACCUAGCCCUGACAGAGUAAUAUGACGAGAUUGAGAGACAGCUUUCUCUCAAUACAAACAAAAACAUUAUGGUUCACUUGGCGCGGCAAGCGUCUUUGAUAACAAAACCAGGAAAGAUGCCUUAGAGGUCUUUGUUUCUGGCUUGAGAAGGGCUCUCAAAACGCCAGUUUUUUCCGCAAGGCUAAAGGAUCUGCCAACCGCUCUAGCCCUCGCCCAGUCGGCAGAAUCCAGCGAGCCGCAAACUACGGGUGAGCCUCAAGCGCCACAACAGGGAAAUGCCACACAGGGUCUAGGACCCAAAUACACAGGAGCGUCGAAGAAUUAUGUUAAGCCACUCGCAUACCUUCGGGAAGUCACCCCCGUCGAAACACCGUUCCCAGUGCAUAAGAAUAGGAAUCCCUAUUAACCUUCAAAGGCAUAAUUAGUCUCGCACUGUUAACGUAGAGAGGGGCAACAUUGUGCUGGAAAGCUGGGACACUCAGAUUCGGUAAAAUGUAUGUAGAUGUUGAGCAGAACAGGGGGAGCCUAUUUAUUUGAACACGAGGUCAAGAACCUUCUGAAGGACAACAUUAUUCGCAAGUCCAGAUCACCGUAAAACAAUUACAUGUGGUUUGUGGACAAAAAAAAGCACUGACGACCAGGUCAACAAGAAGAAACGUCUGAUAAUGGACUUUCGGAAGCUCAAUCACAAGACAGUGGCCGACAAAUACCCCAUGCCAAACAUCUCAAUGAUCUUAGCAAAUCUUACCACCAAAAUAACUUUAGCGAAGCGCGACCGAAAAAAAACCGAAUUUUCAGUGCAUGGAGUGAAGUACGAAUUUUGCUGACUGCUCUUCGAUCUUCGAAAUGCGGGAAGCAUCUUCCAGAGGGCAAUCCAUGAUGUUUUGCGCGAACAAAUCGGCAAAAACAUGCCUCGUCUACAUCGCUGACGUAAUUGUUUUUUCAAACACCCAAGACAAUCAUGUGCCACAUGUUGAUUGGGUACUGAAAAGCCUA
rnacentral:lncRNA from 1 species